rnacentral:rRNA from 1 species
CAGGAUGAACGCUGGCGGCGUGCUUAACACAUGCAAGUCGAGCGAGAAGCUCAUGACCAAUUCUCGGAAGCGAGAAUGAGUGGAAAGCGGCGGACGGGUGAGUAACGCGUAGGCAACCUGCCCCAUACAAAGGGAUAGCUACUGGAAACGGUAAUUAAUACCUCAUAACACGGAGAUAUCGCAUGUUAUCUCCGUCAAAGAUUUAUCGGUAUGGGAUGGGCCUGCGUCUGAUUAGCUGGUUGGUGGGGUAACGGCUCACCAAGGCGACGAUCAGUAGCCGACCUGAGAGGGUAAACGGCCACAUUGGAACUGAGACACGGUCCAAACUCCUACGGGAGGCAGCAGUGGGGAAUAUUGCACAAUGGGGGGAACCCUGAUGCAGCAACGCCGCGUGAGCGAAGAAGGCCUUUGGGUCGUAAAGCUCUGUCCUGAAGGAAGAAGGAAGUGACGAUACUUCAGGAGGAAGCCCCGGCUAACUACGUGCCAGCCGCCGC